GGCUGCUCUAGUAUUUAUACUGCAAUAGUUUAUGUGUCGAAGGGCUAGGAAGACCUGAGCCCUGGGACCAUUCCUCAGGACUACCUGACCUAAUGACUCCUUGCUGUCCCCAGUCCACCUGGACGUGCUGCUGCUCCAGUUUCAUCUGUUCUGCCUGUGGCUAUGGAACCCUGACCUGUUAACUGGACGUACUACCUUGUCCCGGACCUGCUGUUUUCGACUCUCUCUCUCUACCGCACCUGCUGUCUCUAACUCAAUGCUCGGCUAUGAAAAUCCAACUGACAUUUACUCCUGAGGUGCUGACCUGUUGCACCCUCUACAACCACUGUGAUUAUUAUUAUUACUUGACACUGCUGAUCAUCUAUGAACGUUUGAAUAUCUUGGCCAUGUACUGUUAUAAUUUCAACCCGGCACAGCCAGAAGAGGACUGGACACCCCUCAGAGCCUGGUUCCUCUCUAGCUUUCUUCCUAGGUUCCUUCCUUUCUAGGUAGUUUUUCCUAGCUACCGUGAUUCUACAUCUGCAUUGCUUGCUGUUUGGGGUUUUAGGCUAGGUUUCUGUAUAGCACUUUGUGACAUUGGCUGAUGUAAAAUGGGCUUUAUAAAUACAUUUGAUUGAUUGAUUCUUACACUGUAAUGGAAAACUGUAAAUUAUACAGUAUUUUCUAUUAUUAUCAACAGUAAAAUACUCAAUCAGAUAAAAUAACAUUAUAUUGGUUGCAUAUACAUUUAGCAGAUGUUAUUGCGGUUGUAGCGAAAUACUCUGAAAUGUUUUACUGCAGCAAACUGUAAAUUAUGGUGCGUUGUGGGAAAAUGUUGGGGGCGGGGAAAGAAUUGGGAAAGAAUUGCUUUAAGAAUUGCUUUCAAAUGGUACUUUAACUCUACCCCACAGAACACAGUACCAUACCAUAUUUUUGGAGAGCCAACAACUUUUUGACCACUAGUUGGUGCAUGGUAUUGUUUCUGAAGCAUUAACAUAUUUUGAGGCGUGCCGUGUAAGGGGCUAUAUUUGUUGCACCCAUGAGUGAGAACGCUGUUUAGGGGACAUUUUGGAGUGACAGCAAGUCUUAAACCUUAAAUGGUUGAGCAUUUUUACCAUGUCCUUUUGGUCUGUUUUACUCUGUAGUCACUGCCAGUUUGGAAGCCUUUGUGAAGGCCCCUAGAAGUGCAAUUGAUAUAAAAUACCUAAUGUUCAUUAAUAUGCUGUAUUGUUUGUAAACAAUUUACCUAGCAGCCAACCUGCUUGCACCAAUCAGUUGUAAUUACAGUAAAAUACUGUGAAAAUACAAACCCC
rnacentral:lncRNA from 1 species